AGUUGAGAUAACAAGUUUAGUUAUCAAAUUAUGACUGUAGCCCACAUAAGGAAUAAGGAAUUAAGAGCAGAGCUAGUAUGGCUUAUGAGGAUUUAAUGAAUCCUCAAUUUGUUUGAAUGAAAUUAGGAAUUGGGUUAGCAGUAUAGCGAUUACUAAUUCCAUCUUCAUGUUCCAACUCUUAUAUCCCGAAAUGUGGAGUUGAUAAAUGUCAAUAUACAUAAAUUUGAGAAGUUAUGUUUGAUCUGAGUGUAUCUCAGAUUUCUAAAGAUGCUUGAAGAUGUGAGAUAUGGAGGUAUUUUGUUAUUUACACAUAGUGCCUAUUUGGCAUUGAAG
rnacentral:misc_RNA from 1 species